AUUGAACGCUGGCGGCAGGCCUAACACAUGCAAGUCGAGCGGGGUUUUCGGACCUAGCGGCGGACGGGUGAGUAAUGCGUAGGAAGCUACCCGAUAGAGGGGGAUACCAGUUGGAAACGACUGUUAAUACCGCAUAAUGUCUACGGACCAAAGUGUGGGACCUUCGGGCCACAUGCUAUCGGAUGCGCCUACGUGGGAUUAGCUAGUUGGUGAGGUAAUGGCUCACCAAGGCGACGAUCCCUAGCUGGUUUGAGAGGAUGAGCAGCCACACUGGAACUGAGACACGGGCGAGACUCCUACGGGAGGCAGCAGUGGGGAAUAUUGGACAAUGGGCGCAAGCCUGAUCCAGCCAUGCCGCGUGUGUGGAGAAGGCCUUCGGGUUGUAAAGCACUUUCAGUAGGGAGGAAGCGUUGUGUGUUAAUAGUACACAGCGUUGACGUUACCUACAGAAGAAGCACCGGCUAACUCUGUGCCAGCAGCCGCCGUAAAAC
rnacentral:rRNA from 1 species